rnacentral:rRNA from 1 species
UACGGAGGGUGCAAGCGUUAUCCGGAUUCACUGGGCGUAAAGGGUGCGUAGGCGGCGCGGUAAGUCGGGUGUGAAAUCUCGGAGCUUAACUCCGAAACUGCAUUCGAUACUGCCGUGCUUGAGGACUGGAGAGGAGACUGGAAUUUACGGUGUAGCGGUGAAAUGCGUAGAUAUCGUAAGGAAGACCAGUGGCGAAGGCGGGUCUCUGGACAGUUCCUGACGCUGAGGCACGAAGGCCAGGGGAGCAAACGGG